GACGAACGCUGGCGGCGCGCCUAACACAUGCAAGUCGAACGAGCGAGAGAGAGCUUGCUUUCUCGAGCGAGUGGCGAACGGGUGAGUAACGCGUGAGGAACCUGCCUCAAAGAGGGGGACAACAGUUGGAACGACUGCUAAUACCGCAUAAGCCCACGGGUCGGCAUCGACCAGAGGGAAAGGAGCAAUCCGCUUUGAGAUGGCCUCGCGUCCGAUUAGCUAGUUGGUGAGGUAAUGGCCCACCAAGGCGACGAUCGGUAGCCGGACUGAGAGGGUGACCGGCCACAUUGGGACUGAGACACGGCCCAAACUCCUACGGGAGGCAGCAGUGGGGAAUAUUGCACAAUGGGGGAAACCCUGAUGCAGCGACGCCGCGUGAGCGAAGAAGUAUUUCGGUAUGUAAAGCUCUAUCAGCAGGGAAGAAGAAAUGACGGUACCUGACUAAGAAGCACCGGCUAAAUACGUGCCAGCAGCCGC
rnacentral:rRNA from 1 species